ensembl:lncRNA
CCUCUCUUGCAAUCUCGUAGUAGCCCACAGUACACAUUCUUGCUAUCCUUGGAUCAAGGAAACCUAUUUGGGUCUCUGCUCGUCAAUCUCGUAUCUCUGCAGUAGCAUUUCUUGAUGAUAUGAGAGCUAAUAUAGGCGAAUCCCUGCACCAUAGGCGUCACAUCUUCUUGCCAAAGCUGGAUCUCUAUGUAUUUUUGUGAUCGUUGAACAAAACCCAAGAAACCGGGGGCUGCGUGGAAUAACAACGAACAUGACUGCGAUGGGGAAAUUUAAGCAUACCCUGCUUAUUUUUGCAUGUCUGAUUACCGCAGCUAACGGAUCCCCAUUAGCUGAUGAUGUCACGGCAGUCGUCGGUGGAGGAAUAAGUGGACCAAAGCGCAGCGUGGAAUGUUUUCCACCCUCACUGUUCCUCAAAUGAAGAUGUAAUUUUCAAAAUGCUAUAUCCACCAGUUUGUCAGUAUGUUUUUUCAGAAAUGAUUGCUUAUGGGUACCUUCAUGUGC